AGUAAAAUAAGCUAAAUAAGCUGUUGGGUCCAUACCCCAAAAACGAAGGUUAAACCCCUUCUUUUACUA
rnacentral:tRNA from 1 species